rnacentral:rRNA from 1 species
CCAAUAGCGUAUAUUAAAGUUGUUGCAGUUAAAAAGCUCGUAGUUGAACUUCAGGCCUGUCCAGAUGGUCCGCCUUAAUUGGUGUGUACUGUCCUUGGGUGGGUCCUACCUUCUGGCGAAGCGGCAUGGCCUUAAUUGGUUGUGUCGGGGAACCAGGACUUUUACUGUGAAAAAAUUAGAGUGUUCAAAGCAGGCAAAUAUGCUCGAAUACAUUAGCAUGGAAUAAUGGAAUAGGACGAUGGUUCUAUUUUGUUGGUUCUAGGACCGUUGUAAUGAUUAAUAGGGAUAGUUGGGGGCAUUAGUAUUCAAUUGUCAGAGGUGAAAUUCUUGGAUUUAUUGAAGACUAACUACUGCGAAAGCAUUUGCCAAGGAUGUUUUCAUUAAUCAAGAACGAAAGUUAGGGGAUCGAAGACGAUCAGAUACCGUCGUAGUCUUAACCAUAAACUAUGCCGACUAGGAAUCGGGCGAUGUUGACAAAAUGACUCGCUCGGCACCUCAUG